rnacentral:misc_RNA from 1 species
UCGAGUUCACAGCGACUCCCAACCCGUGCAAACCUUACCGCAUCCUUCUGAGAGCGCCCGUUGCCUCCUGGCGGGCGGCGCGCCCNNNNAACCCCCUCCCUCGCCUCUUUGAGGAGGGGGGGGAGGAGGGCGCGCCGCCCGCCGGGGCGCGGCGUGGCCCGCUCUCUUCACUGAACCUUCUUUAGUUUAUCUUUACCGUCUGAGCAAAACCACUGAAUCGUUA